AGUGAACGCUGGCGGUAGGCCUAACACAUGCAAGUCGAACGGCAGCACAGUAAGAGCCUGCUCUUACGGGUGGCGAGUGGCGGACGGGUGCGGAAUACAUCGGAAUCUACUUUUUCGUGGGGGAUAACGUAGGGAAACUUACGCCAAUACCGCAUACGACCUACGGGUGAAAGCAGGGGAUCUUCGGACCUUGCGCGAUUGAAUGAGCCGAUGUCGGAUUAGCUAGUUGGCGGGGUAAAGGCCCACCAAGGCGACGAUCCGUAGCUGGUCUGAGAGGAUGAUCAGCCACACUGGAACUGAGACACGGUCCAGACUCCUACGGGAGGCAGCAGUGGGGAAUAUUGGACAAUGGGCGCAAGCCUGAUCCAGCCAUACCGCGUGGGUGAAGAAGGCCUUCGGGUUGUAAAGCCCUUUUGUUGGGAAAGAAAAGCAGCAGGUUAAUACCCCGCUGUUCUGACGGUACCCAAAGAAUAAGCACCGGCUAACUUCGUG
rnacentral:rRNA from 1 species